rnacentral:rRNA from 1 species
GCCCGCUCAGAAACUUAAAGGAAGUUGACGGGGCCCGCACAGGCGGUGGAGUAUGUGGUUUAAUUCGAUGCAACGCGAAGAACCUUACCUGGUCUUGACAUCCCGGAGACCCUUAGGAAACUAGGGGGUGCUUCCAUCUGGAAGAAUCUGGAGACAGGUGCUGCAUGGCUGUCGUCAGCUCGUGUCGUGAGAUGUUGGGUUAAGUCCCGCAACGAGCGCAACCCUUGCCUUUAGUUGCCAGCAGUUCGGCUGGGCACUCUAAAGGGACUGCCGGUGUUAAACCGGAGGAAGGUGGGGAUGACGUCAAGUCCUCAUGGCCUUUAUGACCAGGGCUACACACGUACUACAAUGGCCGAUACAAAGGGCAGCGACACUGCGAGGUGAAGCCAAUCCCGUAAAAUCGGUCUCAGUCCGGAUUGGAGUCUGCAACUCGACUCCAUGAAGUUGGAAUCGCUAGUAAUCGUGGAUCAGCAUGCCACGGUGAAUACGUUCCCGGGCCUU